UGAAAGGUGAAGCAGGUCUACCUAUCUCAAAAGUGUUGCUCAUAUCUGCCUGGUCUUCCAAUUCUUCAUCAGUCUCCUCAGGUGCAAGAGUAGGGACAUAGGAGGGUGGGAAAGUAAGUGGCACAAUAGUUAGCUCAUGACUCUGCUCCCCAUCUCCUAUGUGGAUGGCACCAACAUCAUCUGGAAGCUGAACAGUCUGGAAU
rnacentral:lncRNA from 1 species